UCUCCGUAGGUGAACCUGCGGAGGGAUCAUUACCGAGUGAGGGUUCCGGCACGACCUCCAACCCUUUGUGAACUACAACUCUGUUGCUUCGGGGGCGACCCCGCCGUUUCGGCGGUGGCGCUCCCGGUGGCCAAUUAUUAAACUCUGCAUCUCUUGCGUCGGAGUCUUAAAGAAAUUUAAACAAAACUUUCAACAACGGAUCUCUUGGUUCUGGCAUCGAUGAAGAACACAGC
rnacentral:misc_RNA from 1 species